GACACACCUAGAAGCUGCUGGUAAUCAGCUCACCUCUGUGCAACUGAUUCCUUUACAGCUGACGAAAUCCCUCACUUCUGGGAAAAGGAGUGUAACCUGGAACAUUAAGGGAGACAUGGAGCAAACAUGAGGAGACAGGCUGAGGAGACAAGGAUGAAACACAAGGAGAGGAACAAAGGAACAGGAACCAGAAUCGAUGGACUGGACUGCUUACGGUGAACAACCAGUUCCUGGCCGUGCUGCUGGACCAUCUGUCUCCUCCAUGGAUGACGACGUCACCCCAAUGGAGAUAGACUAAAAGGUUCAGCAUACCAAAAGAAAAUUCUGUGAUCACCCACUUGUAUUCUGUGGUCUUCCAGGCCUUUGGGUGUUACUGACUGGGUCAGUGCACAUCUUUUUUUAAGAAUGAACCAGACUGAUUUGGAAACUCCUUUGGGUUGUGUAUAAAUGGCUUUAAUUUCUACAAAAGUUAAUGCAAUAUUUUUGCUGUGAAUUAAAGCUAUGGAUGAAUGGAUGUAUGGAAUAAGGGAUACUCCUGAUUGUAUUUGGUGGCUUUUCAAUUAUUUAUGUAUCUGACUAUAUAUAAACAAUGUAUGAUGUUUCUUUUUUCUGUUUUGUAUUUCUCACAGUGAAAGAAGAGGAUGACAAUCAUAACAUUUCUGCUUGGGCAAUUACAGUUGAUCCUGCAACAAUUUGGUUUUUGUUUUUUUUUUUAGAUAAUUUUGUAAAUUUCAUUUCUCAAACCCUAAGCUGCUGUAAUCAAGUGUUACUAUAAAAGCAAGUAGAAGUCAAUUUUUUUUAAUGCAGCAGCUAAUUUCUUCCUGUUGGCUUUAAAGCGGGUUGACGGACCUUUUUUCACAAGAAUAUAUCUUGAAAAGUACUUGAUAUAUGAAACUAAAAUUACAUAGUACAUAUUACAUAUACAUAUUACAUACAUAUAAAAUUACAUAGUACAUAUUACAUAUUUUGUACAAAUUUUAAAGACAUUACACAGAUUUGGGACCAAUCAGGAAAAAUAAUCUCUAACCCAGCUCAAAUUAAUUAUGUUUUUUAUGCUAUUUUAUAAACCCCUUUAUAAAUCUGAAUCACAGUAGUAAAACUCAAAUAAAAUACUUUUCUUUUGGGAACUUAAGCUUACCAAGGGUAGGCCAAUGGUAAUAAAAAAUUAGAUGCUCCAAUAUAUAUGUCCAAACUGAACCAUAAUAUGUCUAUUGCAAAUUGGAGAAUGUUCUAGAAAUUUAAAUAGAUUAUUAUUUUUAUUCUAAUUUGAGUACAGUUUUUGAGAUGUUCAUUUUCAAGCAUUGCCAUAUAUAGCAUCUGAUAUGCAUUUUUUCCCCUUUUUUUGUGACAAGUAUUCUAUAUGGUUUAUUUUUUGGUAUUGUAAAAUUCAACUACAUAUCAUUCAGAAAUUAAAUUGCUGUGAACAAACAUUGGACUUUUUUUUCAUAUUUUAACUAGCCAAAACUUGAUGGUAAAAAACAACAAGAGAAAAUACAGACUUUUAUCUUUAAUGGAGUUUGAAAUAUUUAUGUUCAAAUACUGAACAUUGAUGUGUUCUUAAA
ensembl:lncRNA